rnacentral:rRNA from 1 species
UNAGCGGAGGAAAAGAAACUANCAAGGAUUCCCCUAGUAACUGCGAGUGAAGCGGGAAAAGCUCAAAUUUAAAAUCUGGCGGUCUUUGGCCGUCCGAGUUGUAAUUUAGAGAAGCGUCUUCCGCGCCGGACCGUGCACAAGUCUCCUGGAAUGGAGCGUCAUAGAGGGUGAGAAUCCCGUCUUUGGCACGGAUGCCCGGUGCUUCUGUGAUGCGCUCUCGAAGAGUCGAGUUGUUUGGGAAUGCAGCUCAAAAUGGGUGGUGAACUCCAUCUAAAGCUAAAUAUUGGCGAGAGACCGAUAGCGAACAAGUACCGUGAGGGAAAGAUGAAAAGCACUUUGGAAAGAGAGUGAAACAGUACGUGAAAUUGUUGAAAGGGAAACGCUUGAAGUCAGUCGCGUCGACCGAGACUCAGCCUUGCCUUGGCUUGGUGUACUUCUCGGCCCGACGGGUCAGCGUCGAUUUCGCUCCUCGGAUAAUGGCAAGGGAAAGGUGGCACCUUUACGGGUGUGUUAUAGUCUCCUGUCGCAUGCGAGGGGUGGGAUCGAGGAACUCAGCGCGCACCUUGGUGUCGGGGCUUCUGCCCACGUCACGCGCUUAGGAUGCUGGCGUAAUGGCUUUAAACGACC